UUCUCCCUGCGCUUCGGCGUGGCCAGGCGUCAUGGACUUGUCUUUUCACUUGUCCUCCUGUCGUGCUUAUUAAGCCGGGUCGGAGCGCUUGUUAUCGGUUGUCUGUGCGGAUCUACCCUCGGGGGCAUCAAUAUCAUGGUUCGCGAUGGGUUUUGCUUGCCCCGCCGAUACUCGCUAUCGUCGGUGCAGCUGAUGAGUUGGCUUAUUCCUUGUGCGGUGGUGGGCGAAUGCCCCCGCGCCGCACUUGGUUUAUGACGGCUCUCAUGGAUGCGGUGCUCUUUGAGGUGUCUGUGGGCCGUCGGUCCCCUGACUUCCUCGGGAUGUCCCAUGUGCGGAUCGUGGCUCUGCUGUCUCGUUGCGGAUGUGGAGCAGCGCGUGCGGGGUGCGAUCUUGUGCAUGCGAGAUGUUUGUCCGUUCGAAUGAGCGAUUGCCGGCUCACGUCGUUCCCGAGCGACGCGUCGGCUCUCGUUUAAGACGUGCUACCUGGUUGAUCCUGCCAGUAGUCA
rnacentral:misc_RNA from 1 species